UCCGGUGAUGGUUUAAAUCUUUGAGAACUGAGAUCUUACCUUGCUGAAAAGCUUACAAGCAUGUUUUUCUGAGGAU
rfam:Spinacia oleracea cultivar SynViroflay scaffold17661.con0002.1, whole genome shotgun sequence.